UUUAACUGCUUAUUGCUGUUUCACCCAGAGCAUGGCCUACCUGCUCUUGGAAACCAAGAAGGGUUGGGCCUGGUUAGUACUUGGAUGAGAGAUUGUCUGGGAAAUCCAUGGGAAUAGAUAGAU
rnacentral:rRNA from 1 species